ACAAUGUGCACCCUGCACAGAGCGCUGCACACCGGCCACGGGCCAGUGUGCCUUCUGGAACAGCUCACAGACACGCUGCACCCAGAGCCUUGUCCCUUGGCCCCUCCAGCGCUCUACAGAGCUCGCUUAGCAUGAAACACACUUUUGGGAAACACCACCUGCACUCUCCCCAAAGUAAAACAAGUUCACGCUGUCAGCGACCUUCACUCUAGCUACCAAUUUCAAAUAAGGUUGUUGUUUUGUCUUCUUAAAGUCUGUCGGUUCAAAGAAGCCGCGGCGACAGAAAGCAGGGACUGCCGGCUGUGGUUCCGGGACACCGAGCCCAGCAUUUUUCUAUCUGAAGAAGUGUCACAAGUUCAGAAUUAAGUGAAACGUUACUCAUCAAUCUUAAAAAUAAUUCUAUUCGACACAACACUUCAGGAGGAAACAAAUCCGAGCACCACAAAUUCUACAGUUUCAACAGGGCUACACGUGUACAGACAACCAAUGCGAGUUGCCUCCACGAGAUCAGCACCACCAGAACCUCUCACAACUCCGUACUUUCUCGAGGAAGACGUUCUCAAAGUAGAAGUCGUGCACGCCCGACCUCGUGUUCCAGGCGCAGCCCUCACAGGCCGCACAGCGCCGUCAGGUACCACACAUGGGUCCCAGCGUGUUAACGACGCAGCGUGCACGCACAGCAGGGACUCUGCAGGUGCCAAGCUCGAACCUUCCCUUUGUCGGGGGGGGGAGGUGAAGAUUUUAUUAAGCACUCUAAUUUCACGAGUACCUUUUCUGUGACGUGUACUCAAAGAAUAGAGUUUCAAAAUGACCUUAGGACAGUACACGUACAAGCCCCGAGGGGGAGAGCAGGUGAAACCCCGUGUUGAGGGCAGAGGCCUUUCACGGAGAGUUGGCGCCACGUAAAGUCAGGCCUCGCUGACAGCCAACACCCUUCGCCGUUGGCCUCUGAAGCCACCUUCGGUCUACAGCUCCUAACACCAGGGCCGGCCUGCGGGUCACAAACCACUCUGUGAGGCUUUACACAAGACGACAGGGGGCGCCUCCACAAGGGGUCAGCAGAGCCACGGCCAUGGGGCAGCAAGUGUGGCAGGCGCUGGGGGCACAGACACUGACUGCAGCGUCAGGGGCCACACGAACUGGCUCGCCCACGCGGCUGUCACACUGACACAUGGAGAAGGCCGUGGAGGAAAAGGAGGGGGGCCAGGGGGCAAGGCUCAGUUAAGCACCAGGCCUGCAGAGGAGCCGUCGGGAACCACCUAAGUGCGAACUCCCAGGUGGCACGCCGGGAAUGUGCAUCAGCAGGUCUGAGCCGCAGCCACGGCCACGAGCACCACACUCCCCCUCCCCCGCAACAUCUGGGCUGACUCCCAGCAAAGCUACAUCUAGAUGGGCUUUUCCCGUCCUGCACCUGCCAGGGAAAGGGCUCUUCCGGUCUGGGCGGGGCGGGUCCUCUUCUGAAAGAGGCCCCUCGGCCCACACCUCUGCGUCCGGUUGAGGGCGCACACUUUCACUUGCCAAGAGGUGAGGCUGUGCUGUCCCGGAGGGGGACCGCCACCAUGGGCGCCCUCUGCUCCCCACACGAGACUGGGGGGCGGAGUGCGCCAUCUCAUUUAAGUUUAAAAACAUGUGGCACACUCAGUUCAGGUACUGGGGAACCCUUCAACUUUAAAUUUUGUGAGUCCUAAACACAGAUCAAGUACUUCCAGUGAAAUCUAGCGUCCAAUGACAGUAGGAAAAUAAGAAUGCGACACCUCUGGUGUGUUUAUAUCGAUUACAAUUAUAAAAGCACUUAUGUCUAGUAUAUCUGGAUAAUUUAAACAUAUCCCUAGUUUCUCUCUUUUUAGAAAACCUAAAACGACGUGGGGCUCGUCGGUCAGUGGUGACCUAGGACGCAGACUCCACGCUGUCCCCAAGGCUCGCUGCCAACACGCGGGGCGAACACGCGAGGCGAAAGCACACCUACCUGCCGGCUGCUACGGGGGAGCCGCGCCAGCCGCACGCCCGACAUGUCGAACAGCCUCACUUGCCGGUUGUCGUGUGGGAGGGCGAUUAUCUUCUGGCCGACACAUACAUUGAUCCUGCGAAGGGGAGACGAAGUGGGUUAUGGAUGAAGUCGGGACGGCACAAGUCUCCGAGUUUACAGACUAUCACGCGGUGGGAGACUUCGCACCAUUCACGCUUCAAGGCAGGUGCUAUCUGUCUGCAGCGUCAGCACACAGAGACCGAGUCACUUACCUGUAAUGACAGUGACUCAAAUGCAGCCCCACAGCGCUUGCCCAAAGGUGGUUCAUUCUUCUCCUUCGAAGCUCACCGCCCCAGCCCGAUUUUAUACUCACAUUUCAGCAGCACACAGGGGAUACUAAAUCUGCAUGAGGAUCAAUAAAAAAUAAUCCCCCCUGCAAAAAAUACUUCCCCGGAAGUCUAAUGCACUUUUCCAAGUGCUCUCUUAAACACCACAUGUACAUGAAUAAAACACUGCAUGACAAGCCACCCUCUCAGGACAUAACAAGCAGCCCUCUUCACCUGUUGAUGGCAGAGUCUGUGCGAAUAGUCGCAAUGGGGGAUCUCAUAUUCCUUAAAUCCCAGACCUUCACGGUGCGGUCAUCGCUGCCCGAAACAACAUUAUCUCCCACGGUGAACACGGCCGAGGUCACGGUGCUACAAGUAAAGGGCACAGGUUCAAAAGAUCAUCAGCAAGUCCCAGGAUGCAGACACAAGUCCUCUCCACCUGCGUAAUGAGCACACAAUCCCGCUGCCAGAGAGACUGGUGAGGCAGGUGGAAAGGCUACUGGAGAUGUGGAAGCGGACAGUUGUCUCCGAAUCCACUAACUCCUGCUUCAAUCUCCCUGUGAGUGUAAACACAAUGAGCGUUAGAAAAGUACAGUCCAUUCUACUCAGCUCUACCUUCUCAGGCAAUGGAGCAAAGAGAAGCUACCGGAAGACAUCGAUUAGACAGAACCUGCCAAAAUGUCUACAUACUCGCACCUGAUAGCACAAAUGUAAAAAAAAAAGAAAAGAAAGAAAAGAAAAAGAAAAAUCCAGCCUAACUUUCAGUUUAAUCAGAACAUUGGAGAAAAACCUAUUCCUUUAACUCAACCACCACCACCAAUUUAAAAACGUGCCAAGAAUUUAAACAGAACUUUCUCCCCGGAAGAUUCACAAAAGGCCAAAAAGCCCAUGAAAAGAUGCUCACCGUCAACCAUCAGGGGAACGCAAAUCAAAACCACAGCGUCCCAUCUCACUCCCCUUAGAAUGCCUUCCAUCAAAAAAACAGAACACAAGUGUUGGUCAGGACGUGGAGAAAAGGAACCUCAGGCCCUGUUGGUGGGAAUGCAAGCUGGUGCAGCCACUGUGGAGGACAGUGUGGAGGACAGUGUGGAGGCUCCCUGUAUAGUUAAAAAUAGAACUGCCCUGCGAUCCAGCAACACCACUACCGGGCACGCAUCCCAAGGAAACGGAUCAGUACCCUGAAGAGGUACCUGCGCCCCCAUGUUCACAGCGGGCAGGACACGCAAACCACCUGAUGUUGACACACGAAUGUACAAAGAAGAUGGGAUGUGUGUAUGAACAACGGGGUCUUAUUGGGCCAUAAAGAAAAGACAGAAAUCCCGCUGUCAUCACGGGGAUGAAUGUGGACACCAUGCUAUAUCAGGCAGUGGAGGGGGGCCCACGUGUGAUGCACAGAGAACGGGGGAGGAAGGUAAGCCCGGACUUGAAGCCAACGGCCCCUCUGAACCCCCGUCUCAAACACACAGGAGCAUCAGGCCUGGCCUGGUGCAGAGGCCGCGACAAGCUGGGAGGGACUCUGACGCCCGGCCUCCCCCGUGGACUCCGGUUCUCAGGGAGUUGUGGCCAAGUUAAAUUUCAGUGAACAUUCUGCUAAAUUAAUGAAAAAAGUCUCCACAAAAGACCGUCUCACCUUAUGUUAAUGAAAUGCUGAAAGACAUUAGGUUUUUAAUAAAUCACCAUCCUGACAGGUAUUGUAGGGCAUCAAAGGGAAAAGCUGGCGCGGGGGCCAUGGCUCUCGAGGCACCCUCGGACUCGGGUCCCCGGGGGAACCCACUGUGCCAUGACUGCUCGCUGGAAAAGCUCAGACUCUGCCGAACUCCAGCCGACUCAUUUAUCUUGUCGCCGAGAGCAGCCGGGCGUGUGCUUCCAGCUGACAGCGCACUACCUUCUCACCGCACACCACUGGCCGAUCUGGAACAUUCCGCUCCCUCCGCGGAUCUCAAUCACCGGAGAGACUGUAAUGCUAGCACUCCUCAUUAGGACUAACAGCUGUCUUCCCAGUCACACAGAGACACAAAGCUGUUUUGCAUAACAAUCUGCCGGAAUUUCAUAGCUAAGAAAAAAAAAAAACACCCGAUGUGUGGAAAAUGCUGGCCCGGAAAUGCCAGGCAGUGCACUCUCCUGGCCCCACAUCAGAAACAGCGCAGAGCCCCCCGCUCCUCACCUUUCAGAUGGAGCUCGCCACAAAACCAAGAGAUCCGUUUGCAUCAGAAGGACAGAGCAGAGGAGCAAGCACUCAGGCAAGGGCAGGGGCGUCCUCUGGACGGGAGUCCGCCUUUGAAGAGCGCGUCCAGGAGGAAAUCAGUGUGGCCCAUCGCCCUACCAAGGACGGGGCAGUGUUUGUGACAUCCCUGCGGCCCAGCACAGGCCGGCAGGACAGACCACACCUGCCCUCACGCCUGCACACAACGGAAGACCUGUCCUGACCACGUCCUCCCUGGCUACCGCUUCCCGCUUCCCAGACCGUCCUUUGAAAGUAAGCCCCGCACAGACGAAGCAAGUCCUCUGCAGCCUGCCCUAACAUGGAGGGUCCUGGAGAGCACACGCACUGUGCCCGGCCCACCCCGUGUACUCCUCAGUGCACACACGACGCACAUGGGCCUGUGUCUUAAGAUCUGAGACAACUAAAUGGAAAACAACCCUUUUCCAAAUGAUACAUUUCUGAAUACUCCUUGAUGGCGAACUCUCAAAAAAGCAGGCCCUAAGAUAAACAUUUAAAGGAAAAGUCACACUUGUGUCACAUCUGGUUCGCUUUCAGGAUCUGGAAUUCAAAUGCUCCCGGAAGAAGGAAGUUAAAGCAGCGCCAGCUCAGUAUCCAACCCGGUCCCCCUCCUCCCUGGUCCUGUCUUCGGCAAACCGAGACGUCGUCACCGACAGGACCGAAGUGCAGGACUGCCCGCUCAACGGAGCAGGUCCCGCUCGCCUCAGGGAACAUGCCACAGCGAACAAGGGCCAGCGCCAGCGGGGCAGCGACGGGACAGGGGCAGUUUUCGGGCAACAGUGUAACUGUGACACUGAAACGUGCCGCUGCUGGGACUUGUGACAAUACCUCAGAGAAGCUUCGCAAUCACCAGGGUCAUCACGCCGCAGCGAUGGCUGCGAGCAGCAUCACAGGUGCAUCAGAACGGUGCCUUUCGUUAACCAACUUCUCCUCCAGCGCAUUUUAUCAACUAAUCAGUAACUUUUCCACAGAUUAUUCAAAGAUGAUCAUUCUACACAACUUGAUUUAAAAGGGUUACAGAGAUUUUUAAACAAGGGGGUUACAGAGAAGUUAAACUUAGGAAGAUUCACAGGGUAACCUCAUGCUUGUAGUAUCAAGGGCCAAGGCUCUGAUUUCCUUUCUGUGAAGCCUGGUCACUAUUUCAUUCUGAUCAAACAAUGUAACAGCCAAGCAUAAAUAAGUUUUGAACAUU